rnacentral:rRNA from 1 species
CGACGUAAGAACUUGCCUCACAGCUAGGGACGACAUUUAGAAAUGAAUGCUAAUACCUGAUAUUAUGAUUUUAAGGCAUCUUAGAAUUAUGAAAGCUAUAAGCACUGUGAGAGAGCUUUGCGUCCCAUUAGCUAGUUGGAGAGGUAACAGCUCACCAAGGCGAUGAUGGGUAGCCGGCCUGAGAGGGUGAACGGCCACAAGGGGACUGAGACACGGCCCUU